rnacentral:rRNA from 1 species
GAUGAACGCUGGCGGCGUGCCUAAUACAUGCAAGUCGAGCGAAUGAUGAGGAGCUUGCUCCUCUGAUUUAGCGGCGGACGGGUGAGUAACACGUGGGCAACCUGCCCUGUAGACUGGGAUAACUUCGGGAAACCGGAGCUAAUACCGGAUAAUCCAUUUCACCUCAUGGUGAAAUGUUGAAAGGCGCUUCGGCGUCACUACAGGGAUGGGGCCCGCGGUGCAUUAGCUAGUUGGUGGGUAACGGCCUACCAAGGCAACGAUGCAUAGCCGACCUGAGAGGGUGAUCGGCCACAUUGGGACUGAGACACGGCCCAAACUCCUACGGGAGGCAGG